rnacentral:rRNA from 1 species
UACGUAGGGGGCAAGCGUUGUCCGGAAUCAUUGGGCGUAAAGCGCGUGUAGGCGGCCCGGUAAGUCCGCUGUGAAAGUCGGGGGCUCAACCCUCGAAUGCCGGUGGAUACUGUCGGGCUAGAGUGCGGAAGAGGCGAGUGGAAUUCCUGGUGUAGCGGUGAAAUGCGCAGAUAUCAGGAGGAACACCGAUGGCGAAGGCAGCUCGCUGGGACGGUACUGACGCUGAGACGCGAAAGCGUGGGGAGCAAACAGG